UGAGUAACCUGCCCUUAACUCUGGGAUAAGCCUGGGAAACUGGGUCUAAUACCGGAUAUGACUCCUCAUCGCAUGGUGGGGGGUGGAAAGCUUUAUUGUGGUUUUGGAUGGACACGCGGCCUAUCAGCUUGUUGGUGAGGUAAUGGCUCACCAAGGCGACGACGGGUAGCCGGCCUGAGAGGGUGACCGGCCACACUGAGACUGAGACACGGCCCAGACUCCUACGGGAGGCAG
rnacentral:rRNA from 1 species